UACGUAGGGGGCAAGCGUUGUCCGGAAUUAUUGGGCGUAAAGCGCGUGUAGGCGGCUCGGUAAGUCUGCUGUGAAAGUCCAGGGCUCAACCCUGGAAUGCCGGUGGAUACUGUCGAGCUAGAGUCCGGAAGAGGCGAGUGGAAUUCCUGGUGUAGCGGUGAAAUGCGCAGAUAUCAGGAGGAACACCAAUGGCGAAGGCAGCUCGCUGGGACGGUACUGACGCUGAGAAGCGAAAGCAUGGGGAGCGAACAGG
rnacentral:rRNA from 1 species